GACGAAGGGCGUGGGUGUUAUUCGUUUUGAUUGGGCGUAAAGGGUAGGUAGGCGGGUUCUAGCUUUUCUUGGACAAAAUCGCGGAGAGUUCCUACGCGAAGUCCUUUUAAUAAUAGAAUCUUGUGUUGAAGAAGGGUUAGGCAAGUUCGCUUUAGUAGGGUAAAAUCCUUAGAUAUGCGAACGAACGCCAGCUGGCGGAGGCGCUUUCUUGUUCAACAGACGCUGAGUCUACGGAAGCUUAGGGAGCAAAUGGG
rnacentral:rRNA from 1 species